rnacentral:sRNA from 1 species
GUUGGGUGUGGUGGUGCACACCUGUAAUCCCAGUGGUUUGGGAGACUGAGGCUGGAGGAUGGUGAAUUCAAAUCCAGCCUCAG